AAAAAAGGUAAGCUACUAAGAGCGAAUGGUGGAUGCCUUGACUGGUAAAGGCGAUGAAGGACGUACUAGACUGCGAUAAGCUACGGGGAGCUGUCAAGAAGCUUUGAUCCGUAGAUUUCCGAAUGGGGCAACCCAAUGUAUAGAGAUAUACAUUACCUAUAUAGGAGCGAACGAGGGGAAUUGAAACAUCUUAGUACCCUCAGGAAAAGAAAUCAAUAGAGAUUGCGUCAGUAGCGGCGAGCGAAAGCGCAAGAGGGCAAACCCAGUGCUUGCACUGGGGGUUGUAGGACUGCAAUGUGCAAGAGGUAAGUUUAGCAGAACAUUCUGGAAAGUAUAACCAUAGAGGGUGAUAGUCCCGUAUGCGAAAAACAAACCUUAGCUAGCAGUAUCCUGAGUAGGGCGGGACACGAGGAAUCCUGUCUGAAUCCGGGUCGACCACGAUCCAACCCUAAAUACUAAUACCAGAUCGAUAGUGCACAAGUACCGUGAGGGAAAGGUGAAAAGAACUGAGGUGAUCAGAGUGAAAUAGAACCUGAAACCAUUUGCUUACAAUCAUUCAGAGCCCUAUGUAGCAAUACAGGGUGAUGGACUGCCUUUUGCAUAAUGAGCCUGCGAGUUGUGGUGUCUGGCAAGGUUAAGCAAACGCGAAGCCGUAGCGAAAGCGAGUCUGAAUAGGGCGCUUAGUCAGAUGCUGCAGACCCGAAACGAAGUGAUCUAUCCAUGAGCAAGUUGAAGCUAGUGUAAGAACUAGUGGAGGACUGAACCCAUAGGCGUUGAAAAGCCCCGGGAUGACUUGUGGAUAGGGGUGAAAGGCCAAUCAAACUUCGUGAUAGCUGGUUCUCUCCGAAAUAUAUUUAGGUAUAGCGUUGUGUCGUAAUAUAAGGGGGUAGAGCACUGAAUGGGCUAGGGCAUACACCAAUGUACCAAACCCUAUCAAACUCCGAAUACCUUAUAUGUAAUCACAGCAGUCAGGCGGCGAGUGAUAAAAUCCGUCGUCAAGAGGGAAACAACCCAGACUACCAGCUAAGGUCCCUAAAUCUUACUUAAGUGGAAAACGAUGUGAAGUUACUUAAACAACCAGGAGGUUGGCUUAGAAGCAGCCAUCCUUUAAAGAAAGCGUAAUAGCUCACUGGUCUAGUGAUUUUGCGCGGAAAAUAUAACGGGGCUAAAGUAAGUACCGAAGCUGUAGACUUGCACACAACUUAGAUUAUUUAAGUUUAGAAUAUGAGAAACUAAGUUAUAUGUUUAGUUAUAUUUUUACUGAUUUUUAUAGAGUAAAGAUAGAAAUAAAACUUAGUAAAAUCAGUAAAAAUAUUCUUAGACUAAAGUUAAGUAGUUUAAGUUGUGUGCAAGUGGUAGGAGAGCGUUCUAUUUGCGUCGAAGGUAUACCGGUAAGGAGUGCUGGAGCGAAUAGAAGUGAGCAUGCAGGCAUGAGUAGCGAUAAUUAAUGUGAGAAUCAUUAACGCCGUAAACCCAAGGUUUCCUACGCGAUGCUCGUCAUCGUAGGGUUAGUCGGGUCCUAAGUCGAGUCCGAAAGGGGUAGACGAUGGCAAAUUGGUUAAUAUUCCAAUACCAACAUUAGUGUGCGAUGGAAGGACGCUUAGGGCUAAGGGGGCUAGCGGAUGGAAGUGCUAGUCUAAGGUCGUAGGAGGUUAUACAGGCAAAUCCGUAUAACAAUACUCCGAGAACUGAAAGGCUUUUUGAAGUCUUCGGAUGGAUAGAAGAACCCCUGAUGCCGUCGAGCCAAGAAAAGUUUCUAAGUUUAGCUAAUGUUGCCCGUACCGUAAACCGACACAGGUGGGUGGGAUGAGUAUUCUAAGGCGCGUGGAAGAACUCUCUUUAAGGAACUCUGCAAAAUAGCACCGUA
rnacentral:rRNA from 2 species